rnacentral:rRNA from 1 species
CCCUUAGAUGUUCUGGGCUGCACGCGCGCUACACUGAUGCGCUCAACGAGUUUAUGAACUUGCCCGGAAGGGUUGGUUAAUCUUUUUAAAACGCAUCGUGAUGGGGAUAGAUUAUUGCAAUUAUUAAUCUUCAACGAGGAAUGCCUAGUAGGCGCAAGUCAUCAGCUUGCGUCGAUUACGUCCCUGCCCUUUGUACACACCGCCCGUCGCUCCUACCGAUUGGGUGUGCUGGUGAAAUGUUCGGAUCGGCCGUUUGUCGCGGUUUCCGCGUCAUGUGGCUGAGAAGUUCAUUAAACCCUCCCACCUAGAGGAAGGAGAAGUCGUAACA